UACGUAGGUGACCAGCGUUGUCCGGAUUUACUGGGCGUAAAGAGCGCGCAGGCGGUCGUUCAAGUCGAGUGUGAAAGCCCCCGGCUCAACUGGGGAGGGUCACUCGAUACUGAUCGACUUGAAGGCAGGAGAGGGAAGCGGAAUUCCCGGUGUAGUGGUGAAAUGCGUAGAUAUCGGGAGGAACACCAGUGGCGAAGGCGGCUUCCUGGCCUGUUCUUGACGCUGAGGCGCGAAAGCUAGGGGAGCCAAACGGGG
rnacentral:rRNA from 1 species